GACACACUUACAGGUUGACCCCCUACCUACACACUUACAGGUUGACCCACUACCUACACACUUACAGGUUGAUCCCCUAACUACACACUUACAGGUUGAUCCCCUAUCUACACACUUACAGGUUGAUCCCCUAUCUACACACUUACAGGUUGAUCCCCUAUCUACACACUUACAGGUUGAUCCCCUAUCUACACACUUACAGGUUGAUCCCCUAUCUACACACUUACAGGUUGAUCCCCUAUCUACACACUUACAGGUUGAUCCCCUACCUACACACUUACAGGUUGAUCCCCUAUCUACACACUUACAGGUUGAUCCCCUAUCUACACACUUACAGGUUGAUCCCCUAUCUACACACUUACAGGUUGAUCCCCUAUCUACACACUUACAGGUUGAUCCCCUAUCUACACACUUACAGGUUGAUCCCCUAUCUACACACUUACAGGUUGAUCCCCUAUCUACACACUUACAGGUUGAUCCCCUAACUACACACUUACAGGUUAACCCCCUACCUACACACUUACAGGUUGAUCCCCUAUCUACACACUUACAGGUUAACCCCCUACCUACACACUUACAGGUUAACCCCC